ACGAUGAAGAGUUUGAUCCUGGCUCAGGAUGAACGCUAGCGGCAGGCUUAACACAUGCAAGUCGAGGGGUAUAGUUCUUCGGAAUUAGAGACCGGCGCACGGGUGCGUAACGCGUAUGCAAUCUACCUUUUACAGAGGGAUAGCCCAGAGAAAUUUGGAUUAAUACCUCAUAGUAUAGUACAAUCGCAUGAUUGAACUAUUAAAGUCACAAC
rnacentral:ncRNA from 1 species